GACGAACGCUGGCGGCGUGCCUAAUACAUGCAAGUAGAACGCUGAAGGAGGAGCUUGCUCUUCUGGAUGAGUUGCGAACGGGUGAGUAACGCGUAGGUAACCUGCCUGGUAGCGGGGGAUAACUAUUGGAAACGAUAGCUAAUACCGCAUAACAGUAGAUGUUGCAUGACAUUUACUUCAAAGGUGCAAUUGCAUCACUACCAGAUGGACCUGCGUUGUAUUAGCUAGUUGGUGGGGUAACGGCUCACCAAGGCGACGAUACAUAGCCGACCUGAGAGGGUGAUCGGCCACACUGGGACUGAGACACGGCCCAGACUCCUACAGGAGGCAGCAGUAGGGAAUCUUCGGCAAUGGACGGAAGUCUGACCGAGCAACGCCGCGUGAGUGAAGAAGGUUUUCGGAUCGUAGAGCUCUGUUGUAAGAGAAGAACGAGUGUGAGAAUGGAAAGUUCACACUGUGACGGUAUCUUACCAGAAAGAGACGGCUAACUACGUG
rnacentral:rRNA from 1 species